rnacentral:lncRNA from 1 species
CAUGGACAGCCCAUGGUACUUUGGAAUGUGAUGUAACAAGCUUGACUUCAAUUCGAACUUGGCAGUUUUGUCCGGAGCCGCCCUAGGGUAUUGGAUACAUAGGGGUGCGGCAUUAUCCAAUCCCGAAGCGGAAAGCUCCUUGAUCGUUCGGUUGUCCGCUGCCAUGUCUUCCACUUCCUCUUCAAUUUCAGAAACGGACUCGGAACUUGAACUUGAUUCACUAGGUUCCGGGUUCUUCCUCUUUCGUCUCAACUCACGCUCAAAAUCGUCGUCAAAGUCUAAAAUAUGUUCGUGAACCGGAUUAGAACUCCGAGUCAUAAACAAGUACCUAAAACAAGAAACAAAAUAACAUAAGAAUCUGAUCUAAUAAGAAAAACGAAAAUAACAAUCCAAGGGAUUAGCAAAGUUGCUAAUCCCCGGCAACGGCGCCAAAAAUUUGAUGCGAAAUAUAUAAGCACACAAAUUAAACCCUCUUUUUAUCAAUUGUAGCAAAAUACGUAAGUAGGGAUCGUUCUAGGCCGGGGAUUAGGAGGGAUUGCAAAAUUACUUGGAAUUGACUCAGAAACAUAAAAACAAGUUUAAAACACUAACUAGACUCAAAGAAUGUAAAACUAUAACUUAAAACACCAAAACAAACCAAAAGACUCGAAAUAACACACAAACACUCAAAACUGCCUUAAAACCACUUUCUGGGCAGUUUUGAACUCUAAACAAGAUUUUGACGAAAAUAGGUUUUAACUUGACUCAAAACACUUAAAAACACAAACUAACACACUCUCUAACUAAUUUGACACUUGAAAACAAAGGGGGAUUUGGUUUUUACGAAAUUGAAAACAAAAUAUAAACUUGUAAAUCAAAACAGAUUUUAAAACGAAUUUGGUUUAAAUGAAUGGAUGGAAAGCUAGCUAAGGGGUUCAUCUGAAGGAUUAUUUUGUGAAAACAUGUUCAUUUAAGCAACAUCAAUAAGCAUGCAAUUAACAAUUAAAGGCGGAA